AUACAGAGGGUGCAAGCGUUAAUCGGAAUUACUGGGCGUAAAGCGCACGUAGGUGGUUCAUUAAGUCAGAUGUGAAAGCCCCGGGCUCAACCUGGGAACUGCAUUUGAAACUGGUGAACUAGAGUAUGGUAGAGGUAAGUGGAAUUUCUAGUGUAGCGGUGAAAUGCGUAGAUAUUAGAAGGAACAUCAGUGGCGAAGGCGACUUACUGGACCAAUACUGACACUGAGGUGCGAAAGCGUGGGGAGCAAACGGGAUUAGAAACCCCAGUAGUCC
rnacentral:rRNA from 1 species